UACGUAGGGUGCAAGCGUUGUCCGGAUUCAUUGGGCGUAAAGAGCUCGUAGGCGGCUUAGUAAGUCAGGUGUGAAACCUCCAGGCUCAACCUGGAGACGCCACUUGAUACUGCUAUGGCUUGAGUUUGGUAGGGGUAAGCGGAAUUCCUGGUGUAGCGGUGAAAUGCGCAGAUAUCAGGAGGAACACCAAUUGCGAAGGCAGCUCGCUGGGACGUUACUGACGCUGAGACGCGAAAGCGUGGGGAGCAAACAGG
rnacentral:rRNA from 1 species